rnacentral:rRNA from 1 species
GACGUAGGAGGCGAGCGUUGUCCGGAUUCAUUGGGCGUAAAGAGCGCGCAGGCGGCUUGGUAAGUCGGAUGUGAAAUCCCGAGGCUCAACCUCGGGUCUGCAUCCGAUACUGCCCGGCUAGAGGUAGGUAGGGGAGAUCGGAAUUCCUGGUGUAGCGGUGAAAUGCGCAGAUAUCAGGAGGAACACCGGUGGCGAAGGCGGAUCUCUGGGCAGUAACUGACGCUGGAGGAGCGAAAGCGUGGGGAGCGAACAGG